GCUUGCUUCACUCUGUCGUUGCUCGGCUGGGCUCCUUCCGAUACCUUCUUGGCUUCGCAGCAACAUGCCCCUCUUGGCGUGACGCCUUCUCCUCGUACCCAUCCAAAUCUAUGCUCCGCACAAAAUUGCCACCUCUCCUCAUCCAGCCCCAUGCUCGUGUACAAGGUCCUCUUCUUCCUGCUGCCAAUGGUUGCCAUCAGCUAUACACAUGUGUAGUUAUCGAUCCAGCCAACGAAAAGACCUCCCUUCGCUGCCAGAUUCCUAUAGAAACUACGGAGAAGAUGAUAUAUAUUGGCUCAUCCUAUGGUAAUAUGAUCUACUUCUGCUACGGAUAUUGUCACAUCGUCGAUGUGUUCACUGGUGUGGAGGUUUCAACUCCACGUCUCCCAUCCAGUGUCAAACGUGAGACAUUCUACUUGAACGGCAUUCUAACGCCCCCCCUUACAUCACCCAACUCACAUCUCCUUGUCAGUACCGAGUUCUCCCUGUUUGAUUUUCUUGUUGGAAGUGACUCUUGGUCUGAAGUCCAGCUUCCUCAUAUGUUGGUAAUAGACCAAAUUGUGGAAUUCAAUGGGCAGGUCAUUGUCUCAGACGGCUUCCAGAGGUUCUACACUCUGCAGUUGGCCCCUCGGCUUGGUCUACAAGAGAUGACAACCAAGUCCCAGGAUAGGAGUGAAGACUGGCGUGGUAAAACAUGGCUGGUGGUUUGUGGUGGCAUGCUUCUCAUGGUCAAUGUUUUUCCUUUUAAUGAGGUCUACUGCUUCGACGUGUCGACCAAGCCAGCAACAUGGAUGGCAGUGGAGAAGCUAGACAAUUGGGCACUCUUUCGAGGGGAGGAAGUUAAGAGCGCGCCACUCUCUUGCAUGAGCUCGGAACUAUUGGGAUUGGGGAGCAACAUCUUGUUGUAUGCAUGCCUUCUUGGCUCUAAGCCGUGGGAUCUACACCAUCUGUGUGGAGGUCCGGAUCCCAUGCAUGACACACCGCCCGAUGCAGGAGACGCGCCCGAACCGUGGGUAUGGGAUUCACCACUUCCUCGCGCGAGCCUAGAAUCAUGGUUGGUGGCUCCGGCGCUUCCUUGCACGAGCUUCUUGGAGCCACGGGAAUGGGAUUUGCCGGCGCUUCCUUGCGUGAGCCUGGAACCAUGGUGGGCGGCUCCGGCGCUUCCUUGCACAAGCCCAUACGGAUGGGGAGGGUGGAAUGACACCUCACGCUCCGACCCUUGGCAUCUACUACGCAGACCGCCGCCGUUCUGGCUGUACCCGAGCAUGUUCUACUCUGGUGGCCAGUGAUCCAGCCUGACCACGUCUUGCCGCACAAGAAACUUCUUGUGAAAUUUACAUCCGAGACGCAGCAGGGAGAGGAGACUGAUUUCUGCUGCAUCAUAUAUGUAUGUAAUAAUAAAGGAUGAUACCUAUAUAUGGCCUCUGUGUGUCACUAGAGACUGCAUCAGAUAUCUGUUGCAAGUUGAUUAGAUAUGUGUCAUGCUAUAUACAGGCGAACAGCAGGCUUGUUCUAUCUGUUGCAAGUUGUGGUUGUGCCUUAACUGGUAGCAGGUUUGUAGUUAAUUUGUAUGUUCUUUGCAGAAAUGAACUGCUAUGACGUUUAGUUAUUGUGCAAUUUGCAAGCUGGGCUGAGAAACGCCUGUUCUGAUUUGUGGGGCAAGGCAAGUUAGUCAAGUUGCAAUUUUGAAUCAAUGUAUGCUCUUCUGAGGUGGUGCACCAACUUCUUCUGAGAUUGGUUUUCGCUGUGUGGAUAGGAGAUUGAUGUUCUUUGUGGCAUUAGCGGUCUGGAAAUUUGGUAUGCAUGAGUGUUCCUUUUGUUUUUGUAGUUAGUUUGUUGAACUUGGUAAGUUUUAACGUUUGCAGUGGUUGCACAAACGUUAGCUUUGUGCCUCAUCAUCCCAGUGAAUCAUGCAACUAGCUAGAAUUUGAGUGGAUGUAAAAAUAAAUAAAAUGAGGAGCAUAACAGCUGAAUUGAAAGUGUGGGAAACUUGUCUCAGAUUUCGGUACAGUUGAAUGCGCCAGCAACUUUUUCUCGACUUCCAUUGCAUAUAGAGAAGCAUGUUGAAUGCGCUGGGAACUUUUUCUCAACUUUCUACAUACGGAUAAAUCUUAGACAACCUUUUCGAGACGGAGGGAGUAUAAGAUAGGAUGAUGGCCUUGCCUCGUCUAUGGGCGACACCGGAGGCGGAUUCGUCAUGCCGCCACAACCGUCCUCCCCGCACCCCUCUUGUCUCGCCGUCGGAGCCCCCAUAUCCUCCCCAAACGUCUAGGCUAGCUGCCCGGUCACUACCUAGUCACUUUUUUCCCACCCAACUGGACACCUUAAACCGGUCUAUAUCUCCUGGCUGUUUCGUACCUACCAUAACCAGCUCAUAUAUGGGACAGAUAUGGGGGCGCUGUCCGGGAGGGGCAGCGGCCGAAGGGGUGGGAGAGGGUGACCGAUUUUUCUCGACGCGAAGCGCGUGGAUCAUGCCGCGGAGAGUGGGGAGACGACGCCGUCACCCGUAUUACGACGCCAAGUGAUGGGGGGGGGGGGCACGAGCUCCCACCCUUGUCCACCUGCAACCGCGCUAAUGCGACGCAUAGGGCGUCCAGUCGAUGGGGUCUUCUUCGCCGCUGGCGCUGCCGAAGCUCGACAUGACAGAGAGGGACAAGGAGAGGUGGGGAGGAGACGGAGAGGGGAGGGAAGGGAAGGAGAUGGCGGUGGAGUAUGGACUCUUUGAGAGUGUUUGACCGACUGUGUAGGGUUCGUCCGAGAUGAGUUAUAUGUGGGGAUGAGGUGCGCCGGUCAGUCGUGGCAGACGCAUCCGGACUGUCCCAUGUCCACCCAGAUAUGAGCUGGCUAUGGAGUGUCGGUCAACUGGGACGUAUAGAUCAGGUUUGAGGGCUUCGAUUAUGUCAUGCUUUGGUGAGCUGUCAUUGACGGAGCCGGGCGCUCAAACAUUUGGGGGCUUCUAAAUCACCAUUGCUUAUCACACAUUCCAUGUGGCUGGGCUAGUUAACUGUUAUUGGGUAAUCAAUCAAGGUAGUACAGUACAAUAAUAAAGUUGGACGGUAAGACGGUAAACAUUUAGAUGCUUGUCCACCGUUGAUCUAUCCAGUUGGUGCUGGGACGAAUCGGGGCCGUUGGUUAUCUGAAUCCAGACCAAAGUGCACUCUGCUCCGUCACGUCAGUGUGCUUCUGCUUCACAGCUUCAGUAGUGUUGACACCUACCUCCCCACCCUCCCAAGAAGAAAAGAGGAAUAGCCCAGCCAGAGAGAGCAGAGCAGAUCCGUUCCCGGCGAGUCGGCGGCGACACCGCUGGAGAAGAAGACGUCCACGACAGCCGGCGACCGCAUCGGCAUCGGCAUCGCCGUCUCCUUCCCCACCCUACCUGUGAGGCUCAUUCUCCCUCCCGCCCCUGCGCCGAAACCCUAGCUUGUUCUUGGUUGGAUGUUUUAGUGGAUUCUGGCGUAAGAUGCACCGUGCUUUACCUAACAUAGGGCCAGAUUUAGAGUAGAUUGAGUGGACUAAUCUAGGUUUCAGGUCAGCUAGCGUUGCGAUUUUGGAUUCAGUUUUGGUUUGUCGGCCGUUUUGAGAAAAUCCGAGCGAUCCCUGCAAUUGAAGAAAGAAAAUCGCACCUCCACAACAUUUUAAUGCCCUAUCAUGUCAUCGCCUAGAGGGCUAGAGCAGCACUUGUGGAUGUGUACAGAUGUAGUAUACUGCUAGCCGAAAGGCACCAGCAUCGAAAUGUUCUGAAUGUACAUAUGUGCUUCACAAAUAAAAUAAAAUAAAAGAAAAGAAAAUGAAGGACACAUAUUUCCAUAACCAAGUUUCUUGCUAUUAGCUUAUUCUGAAUCUGAACGCGACCCACCGAAAUGUAACCGGAUUAGACUCUUGUUUUUAGUCUAUAGCAAGUUCCCUUGGUUGAUGGGCAUACAUUUCAUCUGAACAAGUAUCAUGUGUUUAUUUAUCCAUGCUUCUUAUUCCUGGUAGUACAUAGCAAAGUUUCUUUGAUACACAGGCAUAUAUGUUUCACCUGCAGAAUAUCAUCUCCUUACCCAUGGUUCCGAUUAACAUGCUAUCCGCCUUGUAUUUCUUAAUCUGCUUAGUAGUAGCUUACAAUUCUUUUUAUUGCUUGCAGAGUUUGCCAUCAACAGCGCAUCAUGCAGAGGCCCAGCAAACUGCCUGCCGUCUCUCUCCCUUGGCACCUUGCCUCUUUCGGACCCCAAGGUUGGGCUGACCUCCCAGAUGGCUUGCUUCACUCCAUCGUUGAUCGGCUGGGCUCCUUCUGAGACCUUCUUGGCUUCGCCACCACAUGCCCCUCGUGGCGUGCUGCCUUCUCCUCGUACCCAUCAAAAUCCACAUUCCUCACAAAAUUACCACCUCUCCUCAUCCAGCCCCAUAUUCGUGCACAAGGUCCUCUUCUUCCUUGUACCAGUGGUUGUCGUGAGCUAUACCCAUGUAAGGUUGUUGAUCCAGCCAACCGAAACGCC
rnacentral:lncRNA from 1 species